CACACGAAAAAAAAUUUUCACCCACAACUCACCCCACUCUCUGCACCUCAUCACACUUCGCAACAACAUCCAAAUUGACCUCCUUUGAGCCACCAAAAUCCAACGGAUCGAGAGAGCGUCACAUCCAAGGAUCCUCGCCCAGACUCGUGUGGAGACACCUAGAAUGGCAGCAGCGAGAAUGGCGAGGUUGCAGAGGAAGGAGAGGAAUCAGAUGGUCUGAGAGGCGUCUGGCUCGUCGAGGAAUAGUUCCUCAGGCACGAGGAAAGCACUAUGGAGGCAAUCAACCACGAUGCCGUGCAUAAGAGCGGAGACGAAUGUGGAGCUGACGCCAGUGAUGAACACGAUGAAGACGAGUAUUUUGCUGGAGAGAAAGAAAGUGUUUUGCAAGUAAGUUCAUGUUUUGCAAAAGGUGCAAUGGUGCUUAUCAUUGUUCGGUCUGCAACCUCCUCAUAAGGCUGCUGAAAUUCAUGACUUACCUGGACUUCCAGCUGGAGUAAAAUUUGAUCCUACUGAUCAAGAGAUUCUUGAGCAUUUGGAAGCUAAAGUGCGUUUUGAUAUUCACAAGCUUCAUCUGUUAAUUGUUGAGUUCAUUCCUACUCUUGAAGGGAAGGAUGGAAUCUGCAGCACCCAUCCAGAGAAGUUACCAGGUUGAAGACAAUCUUCCAAAAGAAUAAUAGAAAUGGAGGGUUGCAUCGAAGAAAGUCGUAACGAAAGAAGAAUGGAAGAAAAAGAAAGGAUGAAUAAAUCGGUAUUUGGGUGAAGCAAAUUUUGGAGCUUGGACAUUAAUAUUCAGUUUAAGAGAGUUGUCACAUCAUUUCUACGUCAUUUCCACGUCAUCUAAGUGAAUGGGCCAACAUUUGAGGCCCAAUAGUGGCAUUUUUGUAAUUCUGAGUGACAGAAUGACAUUUUUGUAAAUAAUGGUGGCAGAGUUAUUUUGACCACGAGAAUUAGGUCUCUUGGCAUGCAACAACCACAGCUUAUUCUCCAACCUCCAUUUUUACUCUCUCAAGCUUUGGUGGGUGUCCAUAGAGGUGUUCUUCUCAUUUUUUAUGUUUUUGCACUAGUUUUUGCCAUUUCUAUUCACAUUUGAUAGCACCCAAUGUGGGAUUUACGUUUUGAAUGCAUUUAGAAGAUUGGGCAUCUCAUUUUGUG